rnacentral:rRNA from 1 species
UACAGAGGGUGCGAGCGUUGUCCGGAAUCACUGGGCGUAAAGGGCGCGUAGGUGGCGACCCAAGUCGAUGGUGAAAGCUCGCCGCUCAACGGCGAGUCGGCCACCGAUACUGGGUUGCUUGAGCACUGUAGAGGCUAAUGGAAUUCCGGGUGUAGCGGUGGAAUGCGUAGAGAUCCGGAAGAACACCGGUGGCGAAGGCGGUUAGCUGGGCAGUUGCUGACACUGAGGCGCGACAGCGUGGGAGCAAACAGG